rnacentral:rRNA from 1 species
AAUAGAUACCCUGGUAGUCCACGCCGUAAACGAUGAGUGCUAAGUGUUAGGGGGGUUUCCGCCCCUUAGUGCUGCAGCUAACGCAUUAAGCACUCCGCCUGGGGAGUACGGUCGCAAGACUGAAACUCAAAGGAAUUGACGGGGGGCCCGCACAAGCGGUGGAGCAUGUGGUUUAAUUCGAAGCAACGCGAAGAACCUUACCAGGUCUUGACAUCCCACUGACCGCUAUGGAGACAUAGUUUUCCCUUCGGGGACAGUGGUGACAGGUGGUGCAUGGUUGUCGUCAGCUCGUGUCGUGAGAUGUUGGGUUAAGUCCCGCAACGAGCGCAACCCUUGAUCUUAGUUGCCAUCAUUUAGUUGGGCACUCUAAGGUGACUGCCGGUGACAAACCGGAGGAAGGUGGGGAUGACGUCAAAUCAUCAUGCCCCUUAUGACCUGGGCUACACACGUGCUACAAUGGACGGUACAAACGGUUGCCAACCCGGCGAGGGGGAGCUAAUCCGGAUAAAACCGUUCUCAGUUCGGAUUGUAGGCUGCAACUCGCCUAC